rnacentral:piRNA from 1 species
CUUAAGUUGUCAGACUGUAGACAUGCU